AAGUCUGCGUGUAUUACAGUUUUAAAAGAAUUUCUUGAUCGUGUGACAUCCGAGUUGCUGGCAACGAUUUACUUGGGUGUGUGGCCGCCGCGUAAGGUAAGGAGUAUAUUAUCGAUUUUAGUCACACAUCUGCGUUUCUGUGUUGGAAUAAGGAAAUGAGCCGUGGUGUUGUUGUUUGUAUCGCAAACAUAUUUGUUAUUAUAAUAUCAGGAUGGGCUUUAAAGAUGGUUAAUGUCGCCGCAUCGUAUUGCCGGGGGAUGUUUCCGGUGCUUCUGGUGUUUGGAAUUGUCGGUAGUUUUACUUUUACUACACCUAAUAGUUUCCUCUCCAACGCAAUAAUUUGGAAUAUGAUGUUGAUUUUUCAACUUAAUAUUAUUCCUAUAUGCGUUAUCAGAGAUGCUUAUGGAAUUCUGAAUAUGUGUCCUGGGGUAUUAUUUUAUGGGGCAUUGAUUUGCGCAUUCAUUUCCUCAUUUUCUCAAUGGAAAAAUGUUAAACUGAGUAACGUAAUAUCUGGCAUAUCAGUUAUGUAUACCGCUUCGUUUUUGGUGUACUUUUAUAUUUCCGUAAAUGAGGGAUAUUGGAUAUUUGGAUUUGUAACACUAAUAAUUUUCAAUCAAAUUGUAUUGAACCGAGUCUUAACCCGCUACGAAAUAACUUAUCUUGAAUUUAGAAAUAUCGCUCUAUGUUUUUAUGAAAUUUUUGCAUUGAAUGCAAUUAGCGAAAUUACUUAUAGGUCAACAUGAAGAAAUUAUGUAGUAAUAUCAUGUAACUUUCUCUCUUUAAAAAAACUAUGUUUACUACAAAUAAAUAAUUUAUGUUUCUAUAUAUUGAGUUUAUACAUUGAAUGAACAGAAGUGCAUAAAACAGACCAUUUAGCUAAGAAUAUUAUUUAAAUUGAUAUCCGCUAAAAAAUAUUCCAAUUGUAUGAAAUUUCUGCGGCGUGUUAUCAUCUGUAGUUUUUGUUAAAAACGAGUGAUUUACAUGUUUCAGUACAUGUACUUUGGUUAAUAAAUUUCAAAUUUCUCACACCAACUGCGGCCAAACACAAAAAGUUGUGUCUUUAAUAACUCAAAAUAAUAGUUUUAAUUGUCGGUUUUCCAAAAGUUAUUCCGGCACGAUUCCGAUUACUAACUGCCCGUAAACCGUUAUACACCGUAUAGCGUGUGCUUCCGAACCAAGUUGGGUUCAAUAUUUUCACUGCACUCAGGUCUAAAACGUGUCUUAUGACGCCCAGCACAGAAGGCUACUUGCCUCCCAGCCGCAUAGGUUGGCUGAAACCGAAAUUCUGGAGCCGAUUUCGUACUCGUAUUAGCGCUUCGGCCACUCGUCGUUUUUUGUUAGCGUGUUGUUUUUACGUGUUGGCGCUAUAUCGAAGUGGGCUACCAGCGCUCAAUGUCUUGUCGUACUUCCAAGUACUUACCGAUCCAAACGGGGUUAUAUCGCCGAAAGAACAGCCCUUGGUCGGAUGAAAUCCGAGUCAAUUCCGGUGCGUAGAACCGGCUUGUCGUCAUCCGUGUGUGUCUGUCUGCGCCUAUGCCAAGCGCGCAUUUUAGUGACAUUGUAUUUUAUUUUCUCGAUUAUGACAUCAACUUGUCUAUUGUCACACACAGUAUGGAUGUAUACACAUACUUAUGUAUACAUAAGUCGCCGCGACCCAAGCUGUCCUCAUUGCCCUGUACCUUAUGGUCCAUUUUUAGCUGGUAUCAGCGCUGCCCUCAAAUGACGCUUUAGAGUCCAUUCGGGCGCCUUUGUGAUUUGAUGACUGCCCUGCCAACCAUGAGCGGGUAAAAAACCAGAUAAUCAGUAGGUAGUAAAGUUGAUAAAUAUACUGUAGUAAUUAUAGUAUAGAUUUAUGUACAUACAUAUGUAUAUUACUGAGUAUAAUUUUCUUUGAAUGCUCAGCCCUGUUCACUCAUUUCUGUUAAAAUUUCUCCUUCCGAGCCGAUAGUGGUGAAAUCCGCUAAUAGAAAAUUCAUGGCUCUUGAUAGUUCACGCGCCUGUCCGGAAUUGUACGUUCCAAUUGUAACCAAACAAAAACAAAGCAGAAACCGCAGCAUGGGAGGACUUUUGAAUCAUCUCUAAUUCAGGAGAUGUGUCUGAAACUGGUUCUGCAGUAUUCGAUGGCGAUUCAAUCGAAUUUUGGAAGAAUAUUUGAGAAAAGUUGUGGACAAGUAUCCAAAAGGUUGUGAUAACCAUAUGUAUGUCUUUCUUUCUGAUGGCAUACCGGUCUGUUGUACAUGAAACAACGGUACACACUCCAGCAAGGAUGUUGUUGGUAUUAAUCUUUGGAAGUUUGGAAUUAACGCCAUCGCCGGUCUGUGCAAAGACACAAGAGUAAGUUACAAGGUCCUAGCAUACAUAUACAUAAGUAUGUAUGUAAUAAUGGAUAAUAUGAUGCGAAACUCUUAUUUUGUGGUUGAAGUUGGUGACAACGCAAGUUCAUGAACUACAGAAUAGGUGACAAACCACUAAAAACAAAAUGCGCAGAAAUAGCUUUGAUUAGAUCAAACAACGUGCGUAAGAAGGUUGUCCAGAAUGUACAAAGUAAAAGUCUGGUGCGGACCGUGUCAAGACGUAUUUUUAGAUUGGAAUAGUCAAUUUGUGUCAUAUCUACGACAAUGGAAGGUGUCGAAGGUUGCAGGAUUUCUGAUCUGCAAGCAACUAACAUAACUGAUAGCAAGGAGUGUGGAACUAGCAAGAAUGAAGAACGGAGUGAGGCUGUCGUACCCGAUCUAAGAGUUGUGACGAGAAAAAUGCCACAGCUUCGAUCGUCUAGUCAAAACAGGUGUUUUAUAAACCUCCAACGAUAGUGAGGACAAUGCAAAUUAUUGAGUACGAGUACUAUCAUUAUUAUUAUAUUAUAGCAGGUAGAACUUUCACCACCAGGUGGCCAAGAGCAGUUGCCUACUAUACGUUCUAUUCCGAAUUUUAAGGUUUGAUUACAUUGAAUAAUUUCUACAAAAAAAUGUAUUUUAUUGUUGUACUCUCGCAACAAGGUUCAACAGAGAGUACAAUAGUUUUUUAUUUACUUACGAAUGAAUUAUUUCCUAAGAUUGCUUAAAAAAUCGGUAUUCUUUAAAAAGUUUAUGAAUUUUGAAGUGAUAUUCACUCUACCACUCUCUUAGUCUAUAGAUACAUUAUUAUGAUUAAUAGUUUAAUAAUUGUGCUGAAAGGCUACAAAUUGAAUUAUUUUACAAAAAAAAAUAUUAAAAAUUAAAAUAAUUAG
rnacentral:lncRNA from 1 species